CCCUGUGUUUGAAAGUGAUUGUGGGCUGCCCAUGCCUGGGUCAUUGAUAGUGCAGGAAGAGUAAUUACUGAAAGCGUUUCUCUGUUUGGAGGGCCCACCCCUUCUCCUUCCAAACCCUGGAGCUUUCUCAAA
rfam:Pteropus alecto contig98285, whole genome shotgun sequence.